rnacentral:rRNA from 1 species
CGGCACGGGUGAGUAACACGUAUCCAACCUGCCGUCUACUCUUGGCCAGCCUUCUGAAAGGAAGAUUAAUCCAGGAUGGCAUCAUGAGUUCACAUGUCCGCAUGAUUAAAGGUAUUUUCCGGUAGACGAUGGGGACGCGUUCCAUUAGAUAGUAGGCGGGGUAACGGCCCACCUAGUCUACGAUGGAUAGGGGUUCUGAGAGGAAGGUCCCCCACAUUGGAACUGAGACACGGUCCAA